rnacentral:rRNA from 1 species
GUCCACGCCCUAAACGAUGGAUACUCGACAUACGCGAUACACAGUGUGUGUCUGAGCGAAAGCAUUAAGUAUCCCACCUGGGAAGUACGUUCGCAAGAAUGAAACUCAAAGGAAUUGGCGGGGGGUCCGCACAAGCGGUGGAGUAUGUGGUUUAAUUCGAUGAUACGCGAGGAACCUUACCUGGGCUAGAAUGCUGGGAGACCGUGAGUGAAAGCUCAUUUUGUAGCAAUACACUGCCAGUAAGGUGCUGCAUGGCCGUCGU